rnacentral:rRNA from 1 species
AGGAUGAACGCUAGCGGCAGGCUUAACACAUGCAAGUCGAGGGGCAGCACGGUAGCAAUACUGGUGGCGACCGGCAAACGGGUGCGGAACACGUACAGAAUCUACCUUGAUCUGGGGCAUAGCCCGGAGAAAUCCGGAUUAACUCCCCAUAAUAUAGAUGAGUGGCAGUCACUUGACUAUUAAAAUUUAUUGGAUCGAGAUGACUGUGCGUCCAUUAGCUAGUUGGUAGG